rnacentral:misc_RNA from 1 species
GUUUCCGUAGGUGAACCUGCGGAAGGAUCAUUACUGAGUGAGGGCCCCUCGGGGUCCAACCUCCCACCCGUGUUUAACGAACCUUGUUGCUUCGGCGGGCCCGCCUCACGGCCGCCGGGGGGCAUUUGCCCCCGGGCCCGCGCCCGCCGAAGCCACCUGUGAACGCUGUCUGAAGUAUGCAGUCUGAGACAAUUAUUAAAUUAAUUAAAACUUUCAACAACGGAUCUCUUGGUUCCG